AAAUGUUCCUAUUUCUCCAGAGCCUCUCCAGCACCUGUUGAAAAACAUCAUUUUUCAAUACUUUUUUUGUGUGUUACCAGAAGGACAUAGGCAAAAUAUCACCCCCAUCCAAUGAAAGGAGGCUGCAGGGAGGCUGCAGAGGGCUCUGGGAGCAAAGUCCUGGGCAGCUCCUUCCACGGAGGCCAGGGAAGGGGGUGAUUGUGACUUGGGUCUCACUGGGUUGUGGGGUCCUGCUCUGGAACAAAUACUCACACAGCAUUACUAGGGAGAGAUAGGGCUUUGGAAAAAGAAGAGACAUUUUAAAUGCCAUGACAUGCUGAGGCGAUGACGGAAUACAUCAUGGACGAGAAGACUGAACAAGUGAAGUUACAGAAGAAGGUGACCAUUAAUCCCAGAUGGUGGGGCCGGCUGAGUGAGCACAGACUUCAGGCAGGACCCUGGAAGGGAAGACGGGGCACGCAGCUGCUGGCACAGAGCCUGACACAGGAAGGCAUAGCCACUCUUUUAUGAUGAUGAGUGACGCAUCCCUGCCUUGACAUCUGAGGAGCCUGUGCUGUCUCCUUUGCUGACACCCAACUGUGCACUUUCUCAGGAGAAAACCUGUAUCAAUAGUCAAUAAUAAAUUGUACCUAGAUCAG